rnacentral:ncRNA from 2 species
GAAAGCCAGACAGUAAGUCAUAUAACUUAUUUUUCUAAUCAGGGAAUCCAGUUAAAAUCUGGAGCGGUCCCGCCACUGUAAUAGGGUGUGUGCUCUCUAAUAAAGCCACUGGCAACGAAUAUGCCGGGAAGGCAGAGAGUAAAGUCCCUUAAGCCAGGAGACCUGUGUCAAGUUUAUAGAUUGU